rnacentral:rRNA from 1 species
CCCUUAGAUGUUCUGGGCCGCACGCGCGCUACACUGAUGCAUGCAACGAGUUCUAUCCUUGGCCGGAAGGCCUGGGUAAUCUGUGAACGUGCAUCGUGAUAGGGAUAGAUUAUUGCAAUUAUUAAUCUUGAACGAGGAAUUCCUAGUAAACGCAAGUCAUCAGCUUGCAUUGAUUACGUCCCUGCCCUUUGUACACACCGCCCGUCACACCUACCGAUCGAAGGUAAUGAUGAGCCCUCAGGAUUGUGGCCUCGUCGCGUCAGCGUCUUGGCUGCGAGAAUCUGUGCAAAUCCCUACCUUUAGAGGAAGGUGAAGUCGUAACA